rnacentral:rRNA from 1 species
GACGAACCGUGCGAACGUUGUUCGGAAUCACUGGGCUUAAAGGGCGCGUAGGCGGCCGGGUUGGUCGUGGGUGAAAUCCCCCAGCUUAACUGGGGAAGGGCCUACGAUACUGCCUGGCUCGAGGGAGGAAGGGGCGGUCGGAACUGUCGGUGGAGCGGUGAAAUGCGUUGAUAUCGACAGGAACGCCGGUGGCGAAAGCGGACCGCUGGCCCUCUUCUGACGCCGAGGCGCGAAAGCCAGGGGAGCGAACGGG